rnacentral:rRNA from 1 species
AGAUUGAACGCUGGCGGCAUGCCUUACACAUGCAAGUCGAACGGCAGCGCGGGGUCAACCCUGGCGGCGAGUGGCGAACGGGUGAGUAAUAUAUCGGAACGUGCCCUGGAGUGGGGGAUAACGUAGCGAAAGUUACGCCAAUACCGCAUACGAUCUAAGGAUGAAAGUGGGGGAUCGCAAGACUUCAUGCUCCUGGAGCGGCCGAUAUCUGAUUAGCUAGUUGGUAGGGUAAAAGCCUACCAAGGCAUCGAUCAGUAGCUGGUCUGAGAGGACGACCAGCCACACUGGGACUGAGACACGGCCCAGACUCCUACGGGAGGCAGCAGUGGGAAUUUUGGACAAGUGGGGGCAACCCGUGAUCCAGCAAUGCCGCGUGAGUGAAGAAGGCCUUACGGUGUAAGUCUCUUUGUCGAGGUAACGAAACGGUUCCUUAUAAUAGUAGAGGUACUAAGUGAACGGUACCUAGAAGAAUACGACACCGGACUAACUACGU